GCUGAAUUUGAGUCUUUCUAAGCGCGGUCGGGAACCUGAGCAUCCGAACCUAUGAUAUGAGACAUCAUAGCACAAAGAAAGAGUAUGCGUAAGUAAGUGGAAUGUACUGGUAUGCUAGAUAAGGUAAGACUGAAUGCAAGGGUUCAUAUGCAUGAACAAUAACUAACUGAAUGAUAAAGAGUAACUGAACAUGAGAGUACAUGGAUAGCUAAUACUAUUGUAAAUACUGAGUAUGCACUAAUAUGCAUAUAAAUAGAUACUGUGACUAAGCAUGUCUGAAGCUAAGUCUUGAAUUCUAAAACUGAGUAACUGAUAUCUGAAGUUACUGAUACCUGAUUUACUGACACUGGUUGACUGUAUCUGACAGUCUUGAUUCUGUAGAACUUAACUGAGUUCUAUAUUAAAGAAUGAGACUGAGACUAUGGGAGGUAAUCAUCUAACCGAAAUACCCCAAAUAAGAUAAGAUAACUGAAUUGGGUUCUAACCUAUGACCCCAGUUUGAAGAGUGUCAGUACCAUGCCACAAGUAAAGACACUGAAGAGUUACCCUCAUCUGGCAUGUACUCUAAUGAGAAUGGUGGAAUGCUAAACUAGGGAAAUCUUAGUAGCUUACUUGGUUAGUUACCUGAACUUCCACCUUGCUGGUGAGGGUUCGAUUCCCCAUAUUGUAAUCCCCUCCCUCUACCCCCAAUUUGAAAAAAAAAUCCUCAACUGACAGGUUUGAUGUCUCAACCUACGUUGGCUACUUAGUUCUAGAAUGCAAGGAUUGCUUCUAGAGAUCACACCCUCUAUUGGUAGGUGAGCCCCAUCCUUGGGUUCACUCGGUGUUGAAUCCUACUCUCAACUGAAAGACACUGAAUUGAGUAUUCUGAACUGGACUGGAAUGAUACUGAGCUUACUGAGUUUUCCUGAGUUCGGUAACUGACUGAGUUCUACUAAGUUCUGUAACUAACUGAGAGUACUAUUGAGCGUGACAUGACUAAGAUUCUAUAACUGACACUGGCUCUAGGUACACAGCUAAAUUGUCAGGUAUUAAAUACCCCAAGACUUGAUAGCACAAAAAAUAAAGCAUAAUAUAUUCUUGGAAAUCAUAAUAAUGUAUACUUCUCCAUAGUUCACUCAUAGAGGCAUUUAAUCAAAUACUUGUAAUGUAUCUACUUGUACGUGAAUGGGGAAUACAUGCUAUCAUGUUAUAAUGGCCUUAUUUCAUUCACAUAGUCAUUUUAUCAAACACAUGGGGAGCAUGCUUAAGUUAUACAAUAAUCAAAACAUAUAGUUAUUAUGGCUACAUCAAUCAACUUGAAAAUUGAAGGGUUUAUCAUGAAGAUCAUGUAAUUCAACACAUACAAUGAUUUAUUUCAUAAAAUCAUGUAAUUUAAUCAUGGACUAAAACCCAACAAUAACAUGAACAUGAAUUUUAAUUCAAUUCAAUCAUGGAAGUUCAUAAUUCAACAAUCUUGUAUUUUGAAAAUAGAUUCGUGGACUCUAUCAGUGAAAAGAACCCAAACAUGAACACACAUACCUUAGGUUAUUAGUUCUUGAAGGUGCUUGAAGAAAUUCUUGUGUUUUGACCUUGAUUCUUGAAGCUAAGGUUUGUAGUUUUAAGAGAAAGCUUUUAUUUCUUGAGAUAAGUGAGCAAAUAAUGGGAUAAUAGUCUAUUUAGGGAUUUAAUCCCAUCUUUAGGCUGACUGGAAUGACGAAAAAAGUCCUAAAAGCCCUUGGAAAUUAAAUCUCAGAAUUAACUGAAAUGUCCCAAUUUUCACCCUUGGCGCAACGCGGCGCUAUUGUGCCGUGUCUUUGGAAAUUGCCAACUAGAAAAAUGCAUGGUGGAGAGAUAUGGUGGUAUCGCGUUUCCACCUUGGAUGAGACCUGGAAGCUUGGCACGAUGUGGUACAAUCGCGUUGCUUUAAUGGAAAUUGAAAAAUGUGAACUGGGUCCUUGGCGCGAUGCACCAAUAUCGCGGUCCCUUAUUGGAAUUAGACAAUUUGGAAUUGAAAGCCCUCCGCAAUGCGGUGAGAUUGUGGAGUCACACUGGAAAUUGACAAUUGUCAUUUAGACUAGCUCUGCGAUGCGCUAGUGAUCAAAAUAAUGGUGUUUAAUGACUGGAACUUAAAAUCGCCAUAACUUCUUACCCGAUUAUCAGAUUUGAGUGAAUUUUAUAUCGUUGGAAAGCUAAUUGAAUUUCCAACAUAAUGGAAGGCUCUAAAAAGAAAUAUAAUGAGAGUUUCAAAAUUUUUUUAUUAGAUAACUCAUGAACUGAGAGUUAAUCUUAAGCUAAGGAAAUACGGGGUAUUACAAUAUCUCCCUCUUAGGAACAUUCGUCCUCGAAUGAGACUAAUUAAGCUGAGAAACUGAUAGACUGAUUUUACAUAUUGAACAUUCAUAUCUGAUGCAUGACUACAUGACGAAAAAACUGACAAAUUGUGCUCUUACACUAAACAUGCAUAUCUGAUGCAUGGAAUACAUGAUUAAAGUACUAAUAAGCUUAAUUUUCAUACUGAACAUACAUAUCUGAUGCAUGAGUACAUGACUGAACUGAUUCAUGAAUGCAUGACUAAAUAUGCAACGGUAAUGGAUACCAAGAUAUAAUUAUAGCUGAAUAUGGAACUGAGUAAAGCUAAGGAAAACUGUUACCUUAAGCUGGAUCUGAGGUUGUGGAGAAGAGGUGAGGAUACUUGGUCCGCAUAUCUGCUUCUUCUUCCCAAGUAGCUCCCUCAAUAGACUGAUUCUACCAAAGAACUUUGACCAAGGGAACUUCUUUGUUCCUCAGUCUGUGAAUCUGAUGAUCUAGGAUCUAGAUUGGAACCUCUUCUAAAGAGAGAUCAUUCUGAAUAUUUAUAUUCUCUAAGGGGAAUAUGACUGCUGGUUCCCCAAUGCAUUUUUUAGCAGGGGGAUAGGGAAUAUUGGAUGUACUGAGGCUAGUUCUAAAGGAACCUCAAACUCAUAAGAUACCUUUCCAAAAACGACUAAGAAUUCUAUAAGGACCGACAUAUCGAUGAUUGAGCUUUCCCUUCUUGCCGAACCUCUUUACCCCCUUCAUGGGAGACAUUUUCAAGAACACAAAAUCAUCGAUCUCAAACUCAAGAUCCUUUCUCCUUAUAUCUGUAUAGGAUUUCUUUCAACUCUGGGCAGCCCUAAGUCUUUCUCUGACUACCUGAACCUUCUCUAAGGCAUCAAACACUUGGUUGGGCCCUACUACUGACUCACCUACCUUGAACCAACUGAUUGGAGAUCAACAUAUCCUACCGUAGAGAACCUCAAAUGAGGCUAUCUGAAUACUGGAAUGAUAGUUUUUAUUGUAUGUGAAUUUGAUCAAAGGCAAGUGGUCAUCCCAACUACCCUUAAAAUUGACAGUACAUGCUCUUAGCAUAUCUUCUAGAGUUUGAAUGGUCCUUUCGGCUUGACCAUAUGUUUGAGGGUGGAAGGUUUUACUGAGAUGAACUUGGGUACCAAGACCCUUUUGGAAUGCUUUUUAGAAAUAAGAGGUAAACUGGGUACCUCUAUUUGAUAUAAUGGAUAUUGGAGCUCCGUGUAACCUGACCAACUCUCUGAUAUAGAGUUUGGUGUAGUCCUCCACUGAAUAGAAAAUAUGAACUGGAAAGAAAUAAGCUGAUUUGGUCAUCCUGUCUAUGAUAACCCAAAUAGAAUCAUAAUGACAACAAGUACGAGGCAAACCUAUCACAAAGUCCAUGUUCACUUCUUCCAAUUUCCAUGUGGGAAUACUGAACUCCUGCAUGGACCUACUAGGCUUCUGGUGCUCAAUCUUAACUUGCUAAGAUGUAGAGUAUUUAGCUACAAAUCUGCAAUAUCCCUCUUCAUCCCACUCCACCAAUAGAUCUCCCAUCAAUCGUGGUACAUCUUUGCAGCCCCUGGAUAAAUCGAGUAACGCGCACCAUGUGCUUCUUCAAGAAUUCGUGGCCUCAAUCCAUCUACACCUAGUACACAUAAAUGACCUUAGCAAUGCAACACACCAUCUCCCCCUUAGGAGAAAACCUCUACUUUCUGAUCUCUGACUAACUCUUUCAGCUUAACAAGACUGUGAUAUCUAUCCUAUUUUUCCUUCACCUCAGAAACUAGAGAGUAUUCAGAACUAUUUUGAACCCACAUACUACCUUCUACUGAAUCGACUAAGAGGAUACCUAGUCGGGCAAGCUGAUGAACUUUCUGAACUAAAUUCUUCUUACUGUCCUCAAUAUGAGCAACACUACCCAUAGAUAGUCUACUGAGAGCAUCAGCCACUAAAUUGGCUUUGCCCAGAUGAUACAGGACACUUAUGUCAUAAUCUUUUAAUAACUCUAACCAUCUUCUCCGAUGAAAAUUCAAAUCUUUCUGAGAGAACACAUACUGAAGAAUUUUAUGAUCUGUGAUCACAUCAAUAAGUACCCUAUACAAGUAAUGCCUCCAAAUCUUUAAGGCAAACACUACAGUUGCUAACUCGAGAUUAUGAGUUGGAUAAUGCUUCUCAUGUGGUUUAAGCUGUCUGGAGGCAUAGGAUAUGACCUUACCUCUUUGCAUGAGGACAUAACCCAAACCUACUCUAGGUGCAUCACAGUACACAACAAAGCCAUCUGAACCAUUUGGUAAAGUCAAAACUAGGGCUGGGGUGAGUUGAGUCUUCCACUCCUGAAAAUGCUUCUUGUAAGAAUCUGACCACUAAAACUGGACUUUCUUCUGAGUCAAUCUGUACAUGGGGGAUGAAAUAGACGAAAACCCUUCAACAAACCAAUAGUAAUAGCCAGCUAAACCCAAGAAACUCCAGAUAUCUGAUGGAGAGUAAAUUUUAGGCAAGUUUCUCACCGCCUUAGUCUUUUAAGGAUCAACUCUGAUGUCAUUAACAGAAACAAUUUGACCAAGGAAUACUAUCGACUUUAGCCAAAAUUCACACUUACUGAAUUUGGUAAAUAAUUAAUGAGUUCUGAGAGUCUGAAGUUUAAUUUUGAGGUGUUCUGCAUAAUCAAUCUCGCUACGGGAGUAGACAAGAAUGUCAUCAAUGAAGACUAUAACAAAUAUGUCUAAGUAAUGUUUGAACACGCGAUUCAUUAAGUCCAUGAAAGUUGUUGGGGAAUUUAUAAGGCCAAAGGACAUGACUAGAAACUCGAAGUGACCAUACCGGGUUCUGAAAGCUAUAUUUGAAAUGUCAUAUUCUCUGACUCUAAGCUGAUGAUAGCCUGAUCUGAGGGUUAUCUUAGAAAAGUAACUAGUGCCCUGAAAUUGGUCAAACAAGUCAUUGAUUAUGGGAAGUGGAUAUUUAUUCUUGACUGUUACUUUGUUCAACUGACGGUAGUCAAUACACAUUUUGAGAGAACCAUCUUUCUUAUGCAUGAAUAAGACUGGUGCACCCCACGGAGAAAUGCUGGGUCUGAUGAAUCCCUUAUCUAGGAGAUCCUUCAACUGCUCUUUUAACUCUCUAAGUUCUGUUGGUGCCAUUCUAUAUGGCGAAAUAGAUGUAGGUUGAGUGUUUUGAAAAGGUUUAUUUCAAAGUUUAUUUCACUAACGGGAGGAACUCUAGAAAGAUCUUCGAGAAACAAAUCUGUGAAUUCAUUUACUACUAGAACUAACUCAAGACUGGGAGUUUCUGAGUUAGAGUAUUUGACUCACACAAGAUGGUAGACAUAUCCCUUGUAUAUUAUUUUUUUUUCUCUAAGGUAUGAAAUCAACUAAUCCUUAAGCGUUGUGGUACUACCCCUCCAUUCAAGGAUUGGUUUAUUAGGAAACUGAAAAUGAACUAUUUUGUUUCUAUAAUCAACUGAGGCAUAACAUGAUAGGAGCCAAUCUGUACCAAAAAUAACAUCAAAAUCUGCCAUCUCUAACUCUACAAGUCCUGCUGAAGUAACUUUAUGAGAUAUCAUAACCGAACAGUUCCUGUAUACCCAUCCGACUAUGAUAGAUUUACCUACUGGGGUAGAAACUGAAAAAGGCUAUGCUAGAAUUUUUAGACUGACUCUGAAUUUAAUGGCUAUGUACGGAGUUAUGAAAGAUAAAGAAGCUACUAGAUCUAAUAAGGCAUAAAUAUGUAAAUGGAAGAUCUGUAAUAUACCAGUGACCAUAUUAGGAGAAUUUUCCUAAUCUUUUCUAGACUAAAAUUCUUAAAGCCUAUUUGGGCAUUGGCUACUGAUGGCACUGGAAGCGGCAUCCUGCUAAUUCAGGUAACCUGACUGAGAUAAAGAAAGAGUAUGCUGACCCUGAGAACCUAACUAAGGACAAUCUAUGACUCUAUAUCUUGACUUGCCACAUCCAAAACAAACCUCACUGCCAGCUCUGCACACACCCUUGUGGUUCAUACCACAUGUUUAACAAAGAGUAUUUGUUUGAGCAUUGCUGACACUACCCUGGGAUUUACAGCCUGGUGCCCCAUCGUUAUUACCAUUUUUGAAAUUAGGUACUAGUGCACUAGCUGAGGAUAGAGUUGGAGCUGAAGAUUUUUUAUGAAACUAGGAAUAGUUACCGCCCUCUAACUUAGGCUGAUUAAAAUUAAAGCUACAUGUUCUAGUUCUCUUAUUCUGCCUCUCUCUCUCUCUCUAAUCUUAGUUUUUUUAUCUACUGAGCAUGAAUCAUAAGCCUGGAUAUGUCCAUAUCCUUAAUCAACAUCAUUGUUCAGCACUCCUUAACAACACUAUCUGAAACCCCAGAUACAAACUUGCUCAUUCUGGACCUACUGUCUACUACUACAUAAGUAGCAUACCUGGCUAACUGAGUAAACUUGAGGGAAUACUCUUUCACACUCAUACUUCCCUGCCUGAGAUUGAUGAACUCUAACACCUUGGCUUCUCUCAGCUCUAAGGGGAAAAAUCUCUCUAAAAAAGCAGUAGCAAACUCUUCCCACUCUAUGGGCUCCAUAUCUAUGCCCCUAUCUACCUUCCACUGCUUAAACAAUGUAUAAGUUACAUUUUGUAGCUGAUAGGUGACUAACUUAGCACUCUCACUUGAAUUCACUCUCAUGAUACUUGUGACUUUCUGAACCUGAUUGAAGAACUCAUAUGGAUCCUCUUCUAGCUUAGAUUCUGAGAAUAGGAGAGGAUUUAUUUAGUUAAAGUCUCGAAUCUCAGCUACAGUAGUAUUGGCCACUUCAUUGGCCAGAACAAAAGUUGGUUGUUCAUUCUGGGCUGCUACUGAAUUGGCUAGAGUAGUGAAUGCAGCUCUGAAUUCUGCAUGGGAUGCAUGCUCAUCCAGGGGAUCUUUCUGAAUGGGCUGAGUUGCUGACUUAUUUACGAUUCUUCUUUCGUUAGUCCUUUUUGGAGGCAUAUUCUGUAAAUAAAAGGAAGAAAUAAAUUAGACUGAGAUUUUAACUUGAGCUCAUGCUCACUCGCACGACAUAAAUACUGAAAGAAGGGAAACUUUUCCUAAAACAUCUCAUAUCCUUUUGUCCAUAAGUGUGGUGUGCUACACACCUAUGCAUAAUAGUCUACUUGAUGUGGUUUUCAGACUCCCUAGGACUCUGUUGAACCUUAGGAUCUAAUACCAAGUUUGUAAUUCCCCGAGUCUAUACGUCGAAUGAUAUAUGGUGCUUACGACCCCGAAGGACUACAAGCUAACCUAUGAAUAAUAUCUGUUGUGAGCACUAAUAGAUAAUACUGUAAUAAAUGCAGAAUAAUAGGCUGAAAUGCCAUAAGGUUCAAAACAUCUCAUAUAUAAAUAAAUUAUAUCAUCUGAAAUAACAAACUGUAAAACUAAACACUAUCUGAAAACUAGUCUAAAAAACCUCUAACUGAAACUUUUUGAAAGUAGAGUUGAUAGGACAAUCCCCUAACUAACUCCAUCUACUGAAAUACUGAUUCUACUAAAAUAAUAAAAUAAAAAAUAUCCUCAAAUGAUGAGGACUCAUUGCUAAUCUACUGCUGCUGGUUGAAUUUGAGUCUAUCUAUGCGCAGUCUAUCUAUGGUUGAAAUACUGCCGUGGUGUAUGCUUUUUGCAGACGAUGUAGUUCUGAUAGAUGAGACUCGAGGGGGUGUGAAUGAUAAAUUAGAGUUGUGAAGGCAAACUCUUGAGUCUAAAGGGUUCAGGGUGAGCAGAAGCAAGAUAGAGUAUGUGGAAUGCAAGUUUAAUGACGUGAGGCGAGAGAAUGAGGUAGUAGUGAAGCUGGAAGCACAGGAGGUAUGUAAGAGGGAUAAGUUCAAGUAUCUUGGGUCCGUGAUCUAGAGUAACGGUGAGAUUGAUGAGGAUGUCUCGCAUCGUAUUGGGGCGGGAUGAAUGAAGUGGAAACUCGCAUCGGGGGUGCUGUGUGAUAAGAAGGUGCCGCCCAAGCUUAAAGGCAAAUUCUACAAGGUGGUAGUCCGUCCGGCCUUGUUGUAUGGAGCAGAGUGUUGGCCAGUUAAGAACUCCCACAUCCAAAAAAUGAAGGUGGCAGAAAUGCGGAUGUUGCGCUGGNNNNNNNNNNNNNNNCGAUUGAGAUGGUUCGGACACGUGAAGAGGAGGGGCAUGGAUGCCCCGGUCCGUAGGUGUGAGAGGCUAGCGUUGGAUGGUUUUAGGCGGGGUAGGGGUAGGCCUAAGAAGUACUGGGGCAAGGUGAUUAGGCGGGACAUGGAACAGUUACAGCUCACCGAGGACAUGACCCUAUAUAGGAAGGUCUGGAGGGUGCGAAUUUCGGCAGAGGAUUAGGGCCAGUUUGGGCCGCUAGUGUAGCGAAUUACUUGGUGGGGGUUUUAUUCCUGUUAUGAUUCUGUCUUCCGUGUUUCAUGGUUUAUUAUGAAUCUGUGUGCUUUCCUCUGCUUUCCUCUGUUUUAUAUUACUUAUGGGUGCCGUAUUUAUGUUAUGUAAUCUGCUUCUGUGCUUUACUAUGUAUUUGUGUGGUAUCUCGUGUAUUGAGCCAGGGGUCUAUCGGAAACAGCCUUUCUACUUCAUCAGAGGUAGAGGUAUGGACUGCGUACAUCUUACCCCCCCCUCCAGACCCCACUAGGUGGGAAUACACUGGGUUUGUUGUUGUUGUUGUUGUUGUAUGCGCAGUCAGGAACCUGAGUGUUCGAACCUAUGAUAUGAGACAUGAUAGUGCAAAGAAAGAGCAUCUAUCAAUAUGUGGAAUUUAUCGAUAUUCUAGAUGAGGUAAGGAUGAAUGCAACAGUUCAAAUGCAUGAAUAAUAACUAAUUGAAUGAUAUAGAGUAACUGAACAUGAGAGUACAUGGAUAACUGGUACUGCUAUAAAUACUGAGUAUGCACUAAUAUGCAUAUAAAUAGAGAUUGUGACUAAGCUUGUCUGAAGCUAAGUCUUGAAUUCUGAAACUAAGUAACUGAUAUAUAAAGUUACUGAUAACUAAUUUACUUAUACUAGUUAACUGUAUCUUACAGUCCUAAUUCUGCAGAACUAAACUGAGUUCUAUUCUGAAAUAAUCUAACCAACAUGCCCCAAAUAAGAUAAGAUAACUGAGUUGGGGUCCAACUUAUGGGCCCAGUUGGAAGGGUGUCAGUAUCGUGUCAUGGGUAAAGACACUGAAGAGUUACCUUUAUCUGGCAGGUACUCUAAUGAGAAUGGUGGAACCCUCAUCUCGCAGGCUAAAACACCUCAUCAAUCCUCAACUGGCAGGUCUGAUGUCUCAACCUACACUGGCUAUUAAGCUCUGGAAAGCAAGGAUUACUUUUAGAGAUCAUGCCCUCUACUGGCAGGUGAGCCCCCAUCCUUGGGUUCACUCGGUGUGGAAUCCUACUCCUAGCUGAAAGACACUGAACUGAGUAUACUGAACAGGACUGGACUGAUACUAAGCUUAUAGAGUUUUCUUGAAUUCAGUAACUGACUGAGUUCUACUGAGUUCCUUAACUGAUUGAGAGUACUACUGAUCGUGACAUGAUUGAGAUUCUGUAACUGAUACUAGCUUUAGGGAAACAACUAAAUUAUCGGGUAGUAAAUACCUCUACUACUUAAUAGCAAGAAAAAUAAAGCAUAAUAUACUCUUUGAAAUCAUAACAAUGUAUACUUUUCCAUAGUUCACUCAUAGAGGCAUUUAAUCAAACAUUUGUAAUGCAUCUACUUAUACAUUAAUAGGGAAUAGAUGCUAUCAUGUUAUAAUGACACUAUUUCAUUCACAUAUGUAAUUUAUCAAACACAUGGGGAGCAUGCUUAGGUUAUACAAUAAUGAAACAUAUAGUUAUCAUGGCUACAUCAAUCAACUUGAAAAUUGAAGGGUUUAUCAUGAAAAUCAUGUAAUUCAACACAUACAUUGAUUUAUUUCAUAAAAUCAUGUAAUUUAAUCAUGGACUAAAAUCCAACAAUAACAUGAACAUAAAUUUCAAUUCAAUUCAAGCAUGGAAGUUCAUAAUUCAACAAUCUUGUAUUUUGAAAAUGGAUUUGACUUUAUGGGUGAAAGGAACCCAUAGAUGAAUACCUAACAUACCUUGGGUUAUUAGUUCUUGAAGGUGCUUGAAGAAAUUCUUGAGUUUUGACCUUGAUUCUUGAAGCGAGGGAUUGUAGUUUUUAGAGAAAGCUUUUAUUUCUAGAGAUAAGUGAGAAAAUAAUGGUAUAAUAGGAUAUUUAGGGAUUUAAUCCCAUGUUUAGGCUGACUGGAAUGACAUCAAAAGACCUAAAAUCCCUUGGAAAGUAAAUCUCAAAAUUAACUGAAAUGUUCCAAUUUUCACCCUUGGCGCGACGCGAUGGUAUCGCGUCGUCUCUCUGAAAAUUACCAACUAAAAAAAUACAUGGUGGUGCGAUGCAGUGGUAUCACGUUGCCACCUUGGAUGAGACCUGGAAUCUUGGUAUGAUGUAGUACAAUCGCGUUGCUUUAUUAGAAAUUGACAAAUGUGAACUGGGUCCUUAGCGCGACGCGCCAAUAUCGCGGUCCUUUACUGGAAUUGGACAAUUAGGAAUUGGAAUCCCUCCGUGACAUAGUUAGAUCAUAGAGUCACAAUGGAAAUUGAAAAUUGUUAUUUUGACUGGCUCCGCGAUGCGCUAUGAUCAAAAUGACGGUGUUUAAUGACUGAAACUUAAAAUUGCCAUAACUUCUUACCCGGUUAUCAGAUUUGGGCAAAUUUUAUAUCGUUGGAAAGCUAAUUGAAUUUCCUACGCAAUGGAAGGAUAUAAACUAAAAAUAUUAAUCAUUUCAAAACUUUUAUGCUGGAUAACUCAUGAAAUGAGAGUUAAUCUUAAGCUAAGGAAAUAUAGGGUGUUACAAAUAAAUCCAUGAAUCUCUUGUUAAUGCAAUUACAAGUUAUGUGUUCAAGUAUUUUCAAGUGGGAUGAUUCAUAUAAUAUUUUGAGUAUUACAAUUCCUAUGACAUGUUCAAGUGAAUUUUAUGUUAAACCCCUAAUUUAUGAAUUUAGCCAUGUAAUCAUAUUGUUUCUUCAUGUUUAAAACAUUCCGAUGUUCAAGCUCAUAAUUUUCACAUGUUUGAUGAAAUCUAUAUGCUUUUGGGUUUGAACCAUGAUCCCAUAUCAUUUUUUUAAGAUCUUACUAUAAUAAUUUAUGGUCAUUCAAUGCUAGCGGGUUAUGAACACCCGAUACCUAUGUGUUUUACAUGAUUUCAGAUUUCCAAGGAAUAAUUCUGUGAAACCACGAGUCUUGUUAUUUACUCAGAUUUAUAUAAUUAUGAUGAGUACUAUCAGUUAUUAGAAAUAAUGUUCUGUUAAACUUCGUCUAGUUUAGUACCGGUGUCAGUUCAGUUAGGAGUAGGAUUUAGCAUUGAGAAAAUACAGGGAUGGUGGUUUCCCCAUUAGUUAGGCAGAGUUAUUCGUAGUAGUCCCUGUAUUCUAGAAAUUUAUAGACAACUUAGGAUAUGAGGGUUAACCCAUUAGUUUAGUCUUGACUUCCUCUAGGGGGUCACCCGUUAAUUUAGGAUUGACACCUUUGUCCUUUGGGACACCAGUUUAGUGGAUCCACACAGCCAGUGUUAGUACUCGUGGCAUGGUACUGACAUGCUUUCAAUUGGAUUUACAGGUUGAACCCCAGUUAGCUCAGAUUGGGGCAUGUCGGUUCUAUGAUACCUCUCACAGUCUCAGUCUAGUAAUUAGAAAAUUUAAGUUUAGGUUUGCUUGACCAAGUGUACAGAUUUUCAGUUAUACAGAUUUCAAUCUUUCAAAUUAGAGAAUAUCCCAGUAACAUAUUUAUACUUGGUCUUGCAUUCUUAUAUUUUUACAUGUUCAUGCAUUUAUGCUCAGUUAUCUUACGCAUUUCAGUCAGUCCUUAACUCACGUACUAGUACAUUCAAAGUACUGAUCACAUAACUUUUAUUUGCGCUAUGUUGUCUUAUAACAUAGGCUCAGACGCUCAUUUUACCGACAACUCUUAGACAACUCAGUGUACUCAGCAGUAAUAGUGGUGAGUCCUCAUCCAUUGAGGACAUAAUUUGUUUACUUUAGUUACUUUAGUAUUUUUAUAUUUUCAGUCAUUUGGAGUUAGUUGGGGGUCUGUCCCAUCAACUCCACAAUCAGUUUAGAGGCUUUCAGACACUUAGUUAGACAGUCAAUUAGUCAUUUCAGUAUUAUCAGUUGUUAUCAGAUAUUUUAUACAUAUUUUGAUGUAUUUUAGUAUCCAAUUUUAUAGUAUUUUUAUUAGCUUAUCUUCCGCAUACGUUGUAUUAGUACUAUUAUAUUCAGUGCUCAUAAUAGGUACCAGCUUAUGGGUUAGCUUGUGGUCACUUUUAACCAUAAGCAUUAUUGUCGCGACUAGGGGUAGCCCGGAUCAUGAAACAGAGUCUAUAAGGUAUUUAGGAAUAUUUCCCUUUCUUAUUGUCUAAAUCUCGAGCCAUAGAGUCUAAGGUCUUGGAUUUUCUAAUUUUUAUUUGCUCGUCUUUCAAAUCUUGCCCCCGAGAAUAUCUGAUGUUCAUUUAUACUCCUCUACUGUAUUUUAGGACGGUCUGGAUUGAGCUCAUCCUACCCAUGGGGUACAAACCCAGUUUAGGGUCAGUAUUUCUGAUUGCUCUAAUAAAGUCCUAUUGGCCCCUACUAAUCUUUCUCUAGGUGAUGACACUCCUGCUCAGUCCCUUCAAGGAGACUUUUUAAUGCAAAGUUCUGCCGUUCUAUUUAGCUAUUGACCCAGAUAGUGGUCUCUCCAUUAAACUGGUUUGACUAUAUUGGUAGGAUGAAGAGUCAAGUGAGGAUAAUGGAAAGGCAGAUCGAGAGUUCAAAAUAUUCAGAGCAGGGUAGGGGUUGACGCAUUAAAGGUAGUCGUGAAAAGAAAUAGUCUAAGAAAAAGAGUUGGGGUAGAUCUUAUUUUUGCCCCUAGCUAGAGGCCCCUAUUGUAGGCCAUCUAGUGGAUGUCAAUUUUAGAAUAGUAGUGGUUCCAGGGAACCUGGUGCCUAGUAAUAGUCUAAUGGGGCCAAGUUAGUUCCAUCCUAUCCUCCUUGCUGGUUCUGUGGCUGGUGUCAUCGCGGGUUCCAUCAUAAAGGGAAAAAUCAAUGCUUUAAUUACGGUCAGGUGGGUCAUAUAUAGUGGAGUUUUUCCUCUAGAAUUGCUUCUAGGGAUAAAAAGGUCCUUAUUGCCACUUUGUCGGCUCCAGCACCAAAGAGUGCUACCUCUAGUGCCAGCACUGACUAGAAUUAUCUCGACACUCUUUUCGAUCGCUGAGAGUUUAAGCCUCUCUUGAUGUUUCCCCAGGUAUGUCGAAACCCUCUCUUUGUGAUGUAAUGCCCUGAGAUCCCAUCCCGAGAUGUCACACGGUGCUUGUGACCCCGAAGGACCACAAGCUAACCCUUUACUGAUAUCUAUACCUGUACACUACAUAAUAUCUGGAAUAAAUGCAGAAACUGAACUAAGAUUCAACACAUCUAUAAAUUCUCAGAAUAUAAAACUAAAUACUAUACAAUACAUCCAUCUGAAAAACCUCUAAUCUGAAUGAACUGUGGAGUUGAUAGGAUAGGUCCCCAACUAACUCCAUCAACUGAAAGUAAAUAAAAUUUUGAUUACAACAAUAGAAAACUAAAACUCAUCCUCAAAAGAAGAGUAAUCACUACUACUGCUGCUGACUGGGAUUGAUCUGUUGAUGAUACUCUGGGUCCUAUGUCUCCAAACCUAUGGUGUCAAAUUAGACAUCAUAGUACAAAUGUGUCAGCACAAAAUGUAUCGAGUAUGUAGACGGGGUAACGCUAAAUGCAAGGGCUCAUGCAUGCAAAAUAUGUAUAACCUAAAUGAUCAUGAGAAUCCCGCACGAAAACCAGUACACAUACAAGAAUGUAUAAAUCAUACUCAUAAUCAUCACAACUCUAGAGACUUGACCUUGGAUACCUCCUUACUGCGAGCCAAACUCACUACCAUUACUAAGAUACUAAACCACUGACUCAUCUGCUACUGAUUACUGAGGAUCUGAGUAUACUUAUAUCAAAGACUGAGUUCUGAGCUUACCGAUUUCAACCAAAAUAAUUAGAGAUUCAACUUUUCUAACAGAUAACUUUGGAAUCUAUCAAUGAUAAUAAAAUAGGAUUACAUUCGAAUCCAAUAACAAGAAUACUCACCAAAUUCUAAGAAAGAGACCAAGCCUAUCUGACGGGAGAUCUUUAAAUAUGAUAAUAAGAAUAUUCAACAUGAUCUGAGAUUGAGAUCAAGCUUCUCUGAUGGGAUAUCUUUAAAUAUGAUAGUAAGCAUCUGUAUAUGAGGCCAAGCCUAUCUGAUGGGAUGGUCUAUGAAUCAAUGGAACUAUCUGAGUUCCUUACUGAGAUAGACGACUAUACCAUAUAGUCUUGACUACUGAAGAUUGAUACUGAAACUGCAACUGUGGGAAGUAGUCACAUAACCGACAUGCCCUGACCUACCAUAGGUGGGGUCCAACCUGUAACCCCAACUGGAAGGGUGUCACUACCGUGCCAUGGGUAAAGACUCACUCUCGGGUCAAGCCUCUCUGAUGGGAUGACCCUCGCAGGAAAUCGACUAGAGGCAAUAUAAUAGUCAACCUCUUUGAUGGUGAUAGCCUCUACUGACGGGGACUCUUGUAUCCUGCGCUGGCUAUGCAGUUCUGGAGUUCAGGGAUUGCUACCAAUGACUCUGGCCUCUUUCUCUCUAAUGAGAGAAGUUGCCAUCCCUUUCCUCGCUCGGUGCUAGUUCUACUCCCAAUUGAAAGAGUCUCACUAAAUCCUUAGAAUAAACAUAAUAAAGCUGAAUUUGUUUGCAUGAUCAUGUUUCUCAAAUGAUCUGGCUGAAAUACUCAAAGAUCACUUGGUUUUGUAUCUGACCGAUGUUGCAUAGCUUGAUUAGAUUAUUCGAAUCGCUUCUGAGAUUAGGAUUGAAUGACUUGAAUGCUAUUAGAACUAAGUUGAUUACAGGUCUGAGGCUAGAUUACUAGCGAUACAGAGAUUACUGAGAUAACUGAUAUUACCGAGCUUUAUUAAGCUUCGCACUUGUCUGAGGAUACAGAGUUCUAUAGUUCACUAAAUUCUGAGAAUCAUGGCUCGAUUGGAAUUAUUCAGAAACUGACACGGGCUCUAGACAAUAGCUCUAUUUUUUUGGUAUAAAUACCCCUAAGGACUCGACAACAUAAAAGUAAGACAUAAUCAUUCUUCAUCACAAAUCAUUCAUGCAUCAUCACGGUCAUCCAUUCAUCACUACAAUCAUUUAUUCAUCAUUACAAGCAUUCAUACAUCAUUACAAUCAUUUAUGUAUUAUCACAAUCGUUAAAGAAUCACUUCAAGUAGUUGGGCAUCAUAACAUACUUUCCCUCUCAAUAUCCUUAGGACAUCACAUUAAGCAUUUAGGAAACAUAGACCUCUAUUCAUCAUCACAACUACCAAAAGUUCACUCCAAACCUUUAAGGAUCAUCAACAUCAGUUCACUAUCAUAUACUAGCCUAGGGAAGACAUGCUAUUAGAUUAUACCCCAUUCAAUGAGAUCUUAUAUCAAGUACUUCAUACCUAUAUCGGUCUUGUUAUGUAUUUGGAUAUUGCUUGAUUUGGGGAAACUUUGUACUAACACAUCACUAUUUACUUGCUAACCACUUGACAUGUAUUAAAAUCGUAGCAUAUAUCAAAGAGCACAAAAUUGUGAAAUUUACAACCAUCGUAUCUCGACUUGUUCACUAGGGUCUUUCAACAACCAUUAGACACGAUCGAUUUUACACCUACUUGGGGAUUUCAUGCUAUCUUGGCACAUUUCACUCACUAAGGCAUGCAUGGACAAGCUCACAAUUUGGGGUUUCCUAUUCAACAUACUAUAGUGGGCCUUAUGCUUUACCUAAGCUCUUUAUCUAACCUAUGGAGAACGUUCUUCACUUAUUCAACCAUUUCUACACCCAAAAAUCAUGAACACAUCACAUGGAAAAACAACUUCAAGAGGGUUUAUCACAAACAUCACAUGAAUUCGACAUACUAGGGUCACAGCUCAUAAAUUUUGUAGGAAAACAUAAAUCAAAACUCAACAACACAUUAAACAUCCAUUUCAACUCAUACAAAUCAUUAACAACUCAUAAACAUAAAAAAAUCUUUUAGUUUUAAAAAGGGUUCUUGAACUUCUUGGAUGAAAGGGACCCAAGAAUCAAAAUCUACAUACCUGGGAAUUUCUUCUCUUGAAGGAUCUUGAAAGGAGUUCUUGAUUUCUAUAGAUCGUUCUUAAUCUCUCUUGAAUUUUAUGAAAGGAGAAGAGAGUAUUUUGAUUUUGAAAACCCUAAUUUUUGGGUGGAAGAGAGAAAAAUAAAGUUGAAGACCCUUGACUCGAUAUUUAUAGAUCUGGGGGAGGAUGUGGAAAAGACCAAAAUACCCAUUUAAAAUUUGUCUAGAAAAUUCCGAUCGGGGUCUAUGACGGUUCGUCAGAGGUACUGACGGUCCAUCAAGUCGUCCGUCACUCAAAUGCCAAAAAGGGGAUGUUCUGCCUCAAAAUGAUGGUCGAAGUGAUGAUCCAUCAAAAAUCUGACGGUCCACCAGAUCGUCCGUCACUCGGGGUCCAGGAAUGGGACAUUCUACCUCGGUCUGAUGGGCCCCUUAACGGUCCGUCAACUUUCUGACGGUCCACCACUUUGGCCAUCACAUGAUGACCUAAAAAGGAAGCCACUACCUUGGUUUGAUGGUACACUUGAUGGUCCACCAAGGACUUGGCGGUCCGUCAGAUCGACCGUCAAACCUGCAAUUUCGACAACGCUCAGUAAAACGGCCAUAACUUCUUCAUCCGAUGUCGGAUUUUGAUAAAAUUGGUAUUGUUGGAAAGAUUUUUAAAUUAUCUACAUGUCUAAAAUUAGAAAUUAGGGAAAUUACUCAUGAUUCAAAAUGUUUUAUACUUGGGAAGAUACUUUUAAAACUUUUAGACUCAGAUUUUCCACUUUGCUGGAUACGCUCUAAGUCUCAGACUAGAAGAGAACUUUGUAGGGUAUUACAUUUAAUGUGUAUAAUUUACUUGAUCUGGGGUCCACUCUUUCUUAUGUGACCCCAUUUGUGGUUGUGCAUUUUGGUUUUGAUCUUGAGUGUCUGUCAAUUCCUUUUUUUAUUUCUACCCCGGUAGGAGAAUCUGCUAUUUUCAAAAGAGUAUAUAGGGUGUUUGUGGUAGCCGUUGGUAGUAAUAAAACUCUAGUAGACUUAAUAGAGCUGGUAUGGUUGACUUUGAUGUUAUUCUGAGAAUGAAUCGGUUGAAUUUGUCCUAUACUUCUUUAGACUGUUAGACCUAUAAAUCCAUAUUUAAAUUCCCUAAUGAGAAAAUUAUUAAGUGGGAGGGUGUUUCCCUAUCUCCUAAAGGGAGGUUUAUAUCAUAUCUUAGAGCUCAGAGAUAAUCUCCAAGGUGUGUCUCUACCAAAUGGUUUGGGUUAAGGAUUCUAAUUCGAAGGGUCCAAAAUUGUAUUUUGUCUUGGUGAUGAACGAAUUUCUUGUGGUCUUCCCUGAUGACCUCCCUGGUGUUCCUCCUGAUAGGAAUAUUAGCUUUGGAAUUGACCUUGUUUUAAACACUUAUCCUAUUUCUAUUCCCCCGUAGAGAAUGGCUCCGAUUAAGUUGAAGGAUCUUAAGGAAAAACUAAAGGACCUUUUAUACAAAUGUUUCAUCCAUCCUAGUAUGUCCCCACGACGUAAACUAGUGUUAUUUAUUUGUAAGAAAGAUGGGUUUCUUCGGAUGAGUAUAGGUUGUCAGCAAUAGGGUAAAAGAUUUAGAGUGAUCUCUCUAUUGGGGACACUAGUGUUUUGUAUGUGAUACAUUGUGGGUGAUAGUUAUAGUUGAUAGGCAUUAAGUUCAAACCUUGGAUGUUGAUUUUACUGAAAGAAGUAUGUUAGUUCGAGGAUUGAUUUGCAAAAUAUGUGGGAGUACAUUAGUAGGGUCUGUGGAGUGUGCAAAAGAGAUGAGGUUGAUCACUUAGGGGAAUACAUAAGUGGGAAAAUUGUGAAAUAUAUAGGCCAGAGGUCCAAGUUUAACUGAUGGAGAUCGAGGGUUAAUUUUAAAUUUUUUUCUAGCAGGGGACUUUAAGAGAAAGUCAAGGUGAGUUAACUCCCACUCUAGUAAUUUUCUACUAUUUUGGGUAAGAAGGUACUCUUCUAGGGUGUCACACAUUCUAAUAAUUCUCAUGGUUGAGGUUUACAUUCUGCACGCUACGUAUGUCCAUACUCUAGCCCUGAACCAAAGGCGAUAAUGAUUCUCAAAAAUUCAAGAUUCUAAGCAUUCAAGAUCUAUUUCAUUUCACUCAUGACCCAUAUAUUCAUGUAUCACACCAUGCCUGGUUCUAUGAAGUAGUAGUUUUGAGUGACAGUCCUCGCCUUGUUCCCUUAAAAUGAGUCUCAACUUUACAUUAUAUUUCCCAUGAUAUAACCAGUCGUGAUUUCUCCCAGUGCCCAGUCCUAAGGAAUUUUCCUAUGGUUUGUUUAUUUUGGAACGACCCUUCAUUCAUGACCUAGGUGGUUACUAUAAAGUACCUCAUCCUUAUUUUAUCGUGUCUCAUUUUUUGAGUCUCACCUUGAGUAGCAUGAAUAGUUUUCGUGCUUUAGUUUUUUGAUGACCCUUCUUAUGUUAGGAUGUAAAUGACCAUGGAAGCGUAAUGAUGCUUUGGACAAGAGAGUAUAUGUCCUUUGUUGCAAAAUUAUUGAGUGACUACUAAGGCUAAGGCUACAAGAGUAAAUGGAAGAAUAAGAUUAACUCUGUCCUAGUAAAUAGUUAAGGAGGGGAAGGGAGGUAAAAAUCUUUGAGGUAGUAUUUAAAUUUUUUAGCUUUUAGGUGAGAGAUCUAUAAACCGAUGGUAGAGAGGUAUGCUCGAAUAUUGUGAUUGAUAGAUAUACCAAUUGUGGUGUUGAUUUUUUAAGAAUCUUGAUGGAGGAAAUAUAUAGAUAGACUUAGGCUCUUGUACUGACGUGUCUAUGGUAAAUUGUAAGAUUGAGCUGGUAAGGUGUGGUAUUUGUAGUUGAUUUUAUAGGUUGUAGACUGAAGAUGAAAGGUGAUUCCGGAUAGGCUUAAGAACACCUAAAAUUGCUAAAAGUCCUAUGCAGAUAUGAGAAGAAAGGACUUGGAGUUUAAGGUUAAAGGUUAGGUGUUCUUGAAAAUAUCUCAAAUGAAGGGAGUGGUGUUGUUUGAAAGAAGGGUAAACUUAGUCCCUGGUGUGUUGGCCCUUAUAUGGUUUUGAGAAGGAUUGGUAGUGUUGUAUAUGAGUUGGAUUUUCCUUCAAGCAUGAGUUUCACUCAUCCUGUAUUCCAUGUAUCUAUGUUGCAGAAAUGUGAGGUGAUCCUUCGUUGGUUGUUACCUUAGAGGAUAUUGGCAUUUUGGAUUAUUCAUCCUAUGAGGAGGUCCCGAUGAGGAUCUUGUAUCGAAAGUUUGCCAGUUACAAAUGAAAGACAUGGCUUCGGUGAAGGUUCUACAAUGGAACCAAAAGUUUGAGAAAGCAACUUGGGAAGCCGAGGAGGACAUGAAGUGCAAGUAUCCAUUCCUAUUUUCGAUUUCAGAAAAUCAUGCUUGAGGUAUGUGUUCUUGACAUCCUUGUUUUAUGUCCUUGUUAAGGUAUAUUGUGGAUUCCUUGAUGUUUUGUUUUUUGUCUUAAAGGUAAGACUAGAAAUAUUUGGAGUUUAAUCGGGCUUGUAGUGCCUGAUUCCAUCAUUCGAGAAUGAAUGAUCUGGGGGGAGGGGAGAAUGAAACAUCUCAAACUUUGGCCUUAGCAAAAUUUUCUGAGUUGAGCAUUUUGAUCAUCAUACCACUCAUGCUUACUUAUCGUAUAAUGUGGGUAUAAUUUAGGGGUCUUGAUCAUAUGUUACUUAGUGUAGCUUUGGUUGUUUUCUAUCCAAGGUAUGAGUGGACAGCAUAAGGGUCGUAUGUUGAUGGUAUGAGACAGGAGAUCCAAUCAUAUGUUAAUCAAUAUGUAUUCUUGAUCACGUUUUGCCUAGGGUACAACUAUAGGGUACCACUCAUAUGGUUGGGUACGAGUGAGGCCAAUGAGCCAUAUUUUGGACAGAAUAUGAUGUCCAACAUUCUGAACAAGGUACGAGUUAUGGGUACUACUCAUAUGAUUGGGUAUGGGUGAGGGGGCAAACAGUACCCUCUUGUGCACAUUUUUCAGAUUUUAAGCUGAGGGUAUUCCAACUAUUUCCCACCCUAAAGCCCUUAACACCCCACAUCUUAUAACACUUUGUUUCUUUUCAUAACAUACUUUGAAGGAUCAAAACACUCUCCAAAUCCUCUCUAAACUCUCUCUCAAAGAUUAAGCUUUGGUUUCUACAAGGUGUUCAUCCAGAGGCUCAACAGUCAAAUUCUUUCCGCGUAUAUUCAUUAAUAAGGAAUGUGUAUCUUCCCUCAUAUUUAAUUAAUGAAAAUCAUGCAUUUUAAAGUUUGUUUAUGAUUCAUUAAUGGUGGUAUUGAAAAUCAAUGUUGAGGGUUUUGUUGCAUAUGGUUGAUAAUUGUUUACUCUUGGUUUAAAUUGUGUUUAUACAUGUCUUUGGUGAUGGUUUUCACAUAUGGUUGCUUGAUAAUUAUGGUCUAACAACUGGUUCAUGGGUAACCCAAGAUUUGAUGGUUUUUACCUGGUUUUGGUCUUAUUAAUAGUAUGCCCUCAACAUGUUAGUGAAAAUACCCAACAGAAAAAUCUUGUCACAAGAUGAAUUAUGUCUUGAACUAAUGCUUGUUAAAAGAAUGCUAAUGAAGGAUGAAUCAUUUUGUAAAGGUCUUGAUGACCAUAAAUUAAAUUAAAAUGCGAUUUGAACUAAAACACCUUGGCUUUGAACCCUUAGAAAAAUUCCUUAAAGUUGAGUUUCUAGACAAGGUAUGGUAUGAGCAAACCAUUCGUAUGCUAUGGUACGAUUUUGGCCCCUCUCUUAUAUGUUAGGCAUCGUAGUAUGGGUUACAUUCUAUCCAAGGUAUGGUUUAGGUUCACCCAAGCUGUAUGAUAGGGGGCUAGUCGUAAGUUGCCAAGUCAUAUAAUGUCUAGAGCUUGACCUAGUGUAUUCUACCUAGGGUAUGAAUUUUAGGGUACUUAUCAUACCUUAGGGUACGAUUUAUGCAUGUAUAGUUGUAUGUUGGAUAGUUUAGAGAUCCAUGGAGAGGCCUAGGGUACAAAAUAGUGUACCACUCAUACCCUAGGGUACAGUUGUAUAAGGUGAGUCGUAUUCUCCUGGGUUCAAUUUUUAGCUUUUAAGCUGAGGAUAUUUUAGACAUUUCUCACCCCUAAACCCUUAUGACCCAUGACUUAUAACAUUGUUUGACCCAUCAUUCUUCACUUAGAUAAGAUAAAAAAUAUUCCAAAACACUAUCCAAGACUUCUCUAACAAGAUUGGGGGGUAGGGUUCAUCAAGAAGACCAUACAGGGGCUUGAAGACAGAGAACCUCUCUGUGAAUCUUUGUGUGUAAGGCAUGUGACACUUCCCUUAUUGUUAUUUCUCAAAUAUCAUGUGUUUUAAACAUUGAUUUUGAUUCUUGAAUGGUGGGUUUUGAAGCAAAUGUUGAGGGUUUGAUGCAUAGUGAUGAUUAUUGUUUACUCUUGUUUAUACUUAUUUUAGGUGAUAGUUUCCACAUAUGGGUACUUGUUGAUUAUGGUUUAACAGAUAGGACAUGUUUAACCCUUAGAUUGAUGAUUUCUAUCUUGAUUUUAGUCUUGGUAAGUGUAUGUCCUCAAGAUGUUUGUGAAAAUGUCUAAUAGAAAUAACUAGUCACAUGUUAAUGGUGUUUUGAAUUAGGAAAAUGACCUAAUAAGUAAGAAUUGUUGGUAAAUGGUAUUGUAAUGGCCUUGUUGGCUAAGUAAUGAGUUUAUUGGUGAUGUUGGUGUCUUGCUUGGUUAAAUGGGUUAGAGUCCCUAAGCAUGAAAUUAAUUUGUGUUUGAACUAAAGCUUGGUGUAAGAAUGCUAAUGAAGAAUGAAUGGUUUGGUAAAGGUCUUAAUGACCUCCAUUUGACUUGAAUAGUGAUUGAAACUAAGGCAUUGGCCGAUUAAAGUGAUUGAUUAAUAAAUGGUUCACAAAGACCUUGUGGUCAUUGUGGUGUUGAAUUGUAGUAUUGAUGACUUGAAUUGGUUAACUGGGUUAGAGUCCUUAAAUAUUAAAUUAAGUGGAUAUAAAUGCAUGGCCAAAGGGUUAUACUCCCACUGUCGACUAGUAAUGGACACGAUAGCUUAUGGUUAGACUCCACUUGCUUAAAAUAAUGGCUUGUGGUUAGAGUCCACUUGUCUAAUAAAACGGCUUUUGGUUAGAGUCCACUUGCUUGAUAAAAUGGCUUUUGGUUAGAGUCCAUUGGCUUGAUGAAAUGGCUUGUGGUUAGAGUCCACGUUCUUAAUAAAAUGACUUGAGGUUAGAGUCCUCUUGCUCAAUAUAAUCGGAAAGUUCAAACUUCCCAACCUACACAAAUGGGAGGUUAGAUUCCCCCACCUCAUGUAUCUUGAUUGGGUGCUUCGAAAUGCAUGCUAAGCCUUGUUUCCCCUUUCUGGAACUUUGUACAUCUAUAUAUAUCUACAUACAUUCCUAUGUAUAUAAAAGUCGUUUCUUAUGAUGGUUUAACUUGGUUUUGAAUAACAUUACUAUUUUAUCCUUAUUCUUGAGUUACAUGCUAGCACUCUAACCGCUAACCAUCUCCAGACGUUGUAUGCCCACGUGACAUAGAGGCAGAGCUUUUUUUUCUCUUCCUGUGUAGUGACUAGGUGUUCGGGCGGAUCGUAUGCUGACUUUAAAGUGGUGAGGUUCCAUACUUCGGAAGGUAUACAUUUUAUGGUCUUUUUAUCUUAUUUCAUAGACUUAUUUUAGACUUGGUUUUUUGUCUAUUGUCGAGGGCAUGUCCCGAUAUAUUUUAAACAUCAGAUUGGUAGAGUCUUGUGGAUGACUAUGCACUUGGGUAUGUUGGUUUAGCAUGUUGAUAUUAAUGGAUUGAUUAGACAUAUCUUAAGUUAUGAUUAUUUUUCUUGUUUUUGCUAUCUCAUUAUUUGUUCAAAGUUAAUCCAAUACUUAUGGAUUGAUGUGAUGGUUAGGUUUGGCUAUAGGGCGAUCUCUGAUUUUUGUUGGGAUCAAGAUGCCCAUAUGACAAGGACUGAUUUUGGGUCGUGUCAAGUUGGUAUUAGAGCCUAGGUUCAUGGUCAAUUGGUGUCCACAAAGUCGUGUCAAGUAAAGUCUUUUUUAUGGGUGUGUAGCAUGCCAUAUUUAGAAAUAUUUCACGUUCCUAAUGUCUUAUUUCAAGCUAUAGAGUUUAAGGUAUUGGAUCCUUCUGAUUUUCGUUUGCUUGUCUUUCAUACCAUGCCUCUAACAAGAUCUGAAGUUCCCACAAACCUUGCCAUCCUGACUGCGGGAAAAGUUGAUGGGACACACUCUACUUUUGGAGUCCAGAUCGGGUCUAGGGGUCAGCUUCCUGAUGGUCCUGGAGUUCCAUCGGUUCCCUCUAGUCCUGCCCCAGUUCCUAAGGCUGACGUGAUGAAUGCCGAUAUUUGUCAGUCGAUUCAUAUGAUUGCUUAGUUGGUGGUUUCUCAGGCUGAGCAUAUGCAUCUGUUACUCCAUCUUCUUAGGCCUCAAGGGUUGGCCAGUUCAUGAAGUUGAGCACUCUGACCUUUACCGGGGUUAAGAUGGAAGAGGAUCCUCAAAGUUUUCUAGAUGUGAUGGAAAAGAUUUUCAAAGUUAUGCAUGCCACUAGUAUGGAAGGUGUGGAGUUUGCAGCCUAUCAGCUGAAGGAUGUAGGUAUCAAUGGUACGAGGAAUGGGAUCAUUUGAGGGGUGAUGUUGAUAAGUCACCUAUGUGGUAAGAUUUGAAUAAUGCAUUUCUAGACCGCUUCUUUCCUCAAGAGUUGAGAGAAUCAAAGGAAGAGGAGUUUGUUAAUUUGAGGCAAGGAAAGAUGUCAGUCAAGGAGUAUGACUUGAAUUUUCAUCAAUUAUCUCGGUAUACUCCAGAGAUAGUUUCAAACAUAAGUUCUAGAAUGUGUAAGUUUGCUUCAUGACUAACUCGCGAGUUGAUCCUUGGGAGCGAGGAUGCUUUGUUGAUCAAUGAUAUAGAUAUGUCCAGGUUGGUGGUAUAUACAAAACACAAGAAGGAAGAGGAAAAUAAAUAAGUUAAGUUUAGUAAAAGGAAAAGGAAAAAAUUUAGGCCUUCCGAGCAAAGUGGUAGAGAUGGUGGUAAGUGGCCAAGAAAGAAGUGGGGCAGUUUUGGUUAUGUGUUAAGUGGCCAAGAAAGAAGUGGGGGAGUUUCGGUUCUUUCUCCUAGGAUAGUGAUCCUUACCUGAAGCCAUCGGGUGAUCGUCGGUCUCAGUUUAAUGAUGGGUUCUGGGUAUAAGGUGCCCAAUCUUAAGAUAGUAAGGCUCAGUUGGCUACAUCUUACCCUCCCUGUAGAUUUUGUGGUCAGCAUCAUAGUGGCUAGUGUGAGAAGGGGAGAGACAAAUAUUUUAGAUGUGGUUAGAUUGGACAAAUACAACGAGAGUGCCCCUAUCUAGUGGCUUCUUGGGUAACAGGGCCCCUAUUGCUACUUCAUCUGCUCCUGCACCGAAGGGUGCUACUUCUGCUUCUUCUUCUAUUUUUGGUAUCGGCACUGGCCGAAAUCGGUUAUAUGCACUUUUUACUCGACAGGAGUCUGAGGCAUCUCCAGAUAUUGUUACGGGUAUGUUGAAACUUUUCUCCCGUGACAUCUAUUGUUUACUUGAUACAGGGUCUUCCCUCUCUUAUAUGACCUAUAACGCCCCGAGACUACCCCUGGACAUCACAUGAUUCAUAGAAACACAAGUGAUCCUAACUAACCCUUGAUACUUGAAUAACUUGUGAGUAACUGAAUAUAUUACACAAAUCUGAAAAAAAUAAGCGAAAAAGAUGGCAUUGCUGAAUAUAUUCAAUACAAAAUUGUUUAAAACAUUUACACUUUGAUUAUACAAAACAAAACUGGAAGUAAAUACAUCAACUUUAAAUGACCGUUUAUGAAGCCUCUACUAAUAUUGACUAUAGGUAAUCGAAACAUGACCCCCAUCUAUCUCUAAUCAAUAUGACUGAAUAAACAUGCUACUAGAACUAUAGUUGACUCGAGUCAUCAAAUUAAAAGAACUUAUCACCUGCUGACUGGAAGCUGCAAACUAUCAGAUUAUGAUGUGUGGGCUACAACUGGCACCUACAUUACGAGACAAUGUAGCCCAUAGAAAUAUAUAUAGGUCAAUACUCUUGGAAUGACCUUGAGCUUGAAUAAAAUAAAGACUACAAAAUCAUAAAUAUGAGUAAUGUACCAUAAGGAUAAACAUUGUGAGUUAUAACACAUAGUUCUGAUAACUUUACUUUUAGUUUUUCUUAUGAGAGUUUCUUCUAACUAACAUAAACCAUGUGAGCUACCAUGGAGUUCAACGUCUUACCCAUGUUGGGAAGAGUUGUCCUAUCCUUGUCAUCUGAAUAGAACCUUAAUCUUAGUGAUUACUUUACUUCAUCCAUAUCGGGAAAAAACUUAACCUACAGUUGCUCGUAGUUUCAAGAAAUUAAGGUUACGAGCAUCUGUAUCUACAUUACCUUCUUGGUGCUAAAUACUACUCCCAAAAUACUUAUAUGCUCAUACUUUAGGAAUCCACCUUAAAUUAGCAUAAGUAUUUUAUAGAAUGAAAAACAGUUAUGCUUCUCUUUACUUUAAAUCAUAAUCAAGAUGAACAAAUGUGGAUUCCAUAUCUUAUCUUAAUAUCAAAGAUCAAUCUUUGAUUUAAAUCAUAGUACAAACUUAUCGAUGGAGCUUAAGAGCAUAAUCUUUUAGUAAACUCAAUACUUGUACUUAAGACUUAUAACACAUGCGUAAAUUCUUAUAAAUUCAUGAUAAAACUUCAUACUUAAUAAUCAUCUUAAAAUACUUCACCAAUUCCAGUCAGAAUAAGGAAAUUCAAAUCAUAAUAUGAAUCUUAUAAAUCAAAACAUGGAUGUAAGUAAACCUUGAUGCACUAAAAACUUUUAAUCUCAUGGAAAUUUUAUAAUUCAAGAAUAUGGCUAUUUGGGUAUGAGCCCUAAUUCAAAAUAAAGAAAUUCAAUAUUGAAACGAUGUAUUUUAGGCAUUAGGAUGAGAAAAUAACCUUGUUCAUAAAUCCCACAUACCUAAAGUUUCUUGAUUUGUGAAGAUAGUUUGUAUCUUGGGACUUGAAGGAUGAAUUUUGGGUAAGGAACCCUAAUCUUGAUGUUCUUGAAUUCUUGAUGAUGGGAGGGUCAAAGAACGUGUUAAGUGAUUAAGGAUGGUAGAAAAAUAAUGUCUUUUUAUGUUUUCAAGUCAUUGGUUGGUAGUUUAAAGAGGGGAAAAGACCAAAAAACCCCUUAGGAACCUUCUGAAAAUCGUUUGGAAGCCGUCUCGACAUCUUAGGCCACCACUUGUAUGUUUUGGGUACAGUUCAUAUCCCAAGUCAUCACCAGGAACCCAGAUUUUGGCCUCUACUAUCAUAGGUACGACUUCUUCUAACGACUCAUAUGGUCUGCUUACGAGUCAUCAUCAGUGAGUCGUAACCACUGGAAGCUUUGAUAGUGCUUCAGCAAUUUGGUCGUAACUUUUCACCUCGUUAUUGGAUUAAGUAUAAAUUAAUAUAGUUGGAAAUAUAAUUAAAUUAUCUAUAUUUUGGUAGGUCUUGAGCUCAUAAUGUUUUCGUAUAACAAAAGUUAUGCUCGUUGUAAGAUGACUGUAGUCGUAUGCAUCCUAAGAAUUUAAUCGCUAAGGAAUGCUUUGACUUGUUCUUGAGAUAGGAACUAUUUGAGGACUUAAUAUAUGUCCAAUUAACUUAUAAAUCUUUCAAAACAUGAGGCUUUAUUCUUGGGUCCUUUGUUGGUCAGGAUACGAGUCAUAUCUUACGACUCGUAACAAGCCAUUACGACUUGUUGCCACCACUCGUAAGUUGAAUAGAAACUUAGGGAACCUAGGUUGUUACCCUUACGACUCAACUUCAUACACCUCAUACCAUGCCUUGAUGACUUCUACGGUCAAAUCAUAUCCACAACAAACUUCAACUACUCUACACUGCCAUAGGUAUGACUCCAACGUACGACUCAUAUGUUAUUUAUAUGACUUAAGGAGAUAAGUCAUAUAUUGUACAAUAUCUUUUACACAUGGGGAAUUUUAAUAUCUCCACCUUGGGAUGAUUCAUCCUCAAAUGAUACUGACUUGGCUAAAAUACUAAGGAAAAGCUGAGAUAAUGCACUGAACACUUACAAGUUGAAUCAUAACUUAAUAUUUGAAUUUGAAACUGAUGCAUGGACCGAGCUGAAUUCGUAAUUUGGAUAGAUGAGAAUAUUUAACUCAUGGAAUAGCAAUUCUCAUGAAACUUUGAAUAGUAAUACUAGAUGGAUAGAUGGAAAACCAAUGAGAUUAUCUAUUUGAUUGCUAAACUGAAUUGUUGGAUACACAGACUGAAUCAUACUGAAAGUUUAUGCUCAACCUGAGUAUUUCUUCAACACUUUUUGCAAGAUGUUAUAAUAACAUUAGGGAGCAAAGAAUUUUGGGCAUAGUCUGAAUAAGAUAUCUUAAUAAAGAAUCGUAACAUAGCUACAACUCUAUAACAUGUAAUAUAGGCCUAUGAAACAUAAGUUAGGAUAGAAUCACUAAACCUUAGGUAAUGCAACUGCUAACUUCAAGCUUAACCACACGUCUAAAAGAUUCCCUCAACUAUACUAUUCCUCUUAAAUAAUAUACUCAUUUUAUGCAACUUAUAAUUCUCACAUGGGUACAUAUAACUACUCUAGCCAAAGUCUGAGUUGAACUACACACUCUCGCCAUGUUCAAGCCUAACUCAAAAUUACAAAUUACAACACAUAACAUCAUAAUACUAGUCUAAACUAUGAAUUUAGUACCCCACGUGUGUUUCACAGUUCACAUUUCCCGAAUAAUUUUUCUUGCCACUUUGACAACUAAAUUCAACCUCUUACUAGGAAUUCACUAGCGCAUAAUGCACCUAUCCACUUAUAUGGCAACAUGACAUUCAAGCAUUUUAUUAUAAUCACAUAUGAACUCCUAAGCAAACAAUCCACCUAGGAAAUUUUUCCCACCUUCUCUAAUAUCUCUUGUCAAUAACCAUUCCUAUGCACUAUCUAUAAUAAAACACACCUAGAAUUCUCAAAUAACCAAGACAUAUAUCAAAAUUUUCACCUAAAUCUUCCUUCAUAUUUAUAGAGUUAGGUUAAAACAACCAUAGUACAAUCUUUCCCCAAUAAGAAACAUUUACUCUCUCCCAUCUAAACGAUUGUUCAUUACCACUAUCAUCCCCUCCUUAGAUUAAAGCCAACCUUCUAAGCUUAUGGGUCUAUUCCAUAUCCUUAGGACUGAGCAAUAAUUUCUUCACUCUAGUGUUCUACAGAGAAAUGCUCAACUCACGCGAAUAAACUAUAUUUCAAACAUACUAACUUCAUUCUAGAAUACUCCCUUAACAUAUAUCAUCCUUAACUUUCUCUAACUUUAGCAAUUAUCAUCAUGUACUUACACCCUUGUCAACAACAUACUUGCCUCUCUAAACACAUAAUCUACCUCAUUUCCAUCAUAGCCUACUAACAACACAUCCUUAAAAUUUUAUUUUUCCCAAAACCAUGAGAAUUACCAUUAAACCAUAAUUCCCAACAUCACAACCUAUAACCCAUAACUUAGCUGGUAAGAACACCAUAUACUACAUAACUAGCCUUCUUACCAUUUAGCAACUCAAGGGUACCACUAACAACACAUAACCCUUAAUAAUCUUAGAAAAUAACGUAACCCCAUAUCACCUUGGGUACACCUCUAAAUCAUACCUACCACAUCUUACUUAAUUAAGAAUAAAUGAACUUAAACUCCUACAUUCACUAUUCUAGCCUACUAGAUUAUUUUCUUAUAACUAGCAUCACUAACCAAGCAAUCAUUAUUUCCACCUUGAUGAUCAUCCACGGUUCAAACUUAGUAUCUAGUGCUUGACAUGAUUUACAACACACCCUCACAUACUAUUCUUGCUUGAAAGCUAUAAAAUAAAACACAAAGAAACACUAGUCCCCUAGAACCUCAUACUAAUAAUAAUCGAUCAUAACUAUAUGGUAUACCUUAUUAUAAUCCAUUAGCACAUUCUCCUCCUACACAUUACUACCAUUUACCCAUCUAUGCACCUAAAUUACUUCCAUAGCUCUAUAGGUUUCAACUAAACUCCCCUUUUUUUCACAACCACAAGGGAAAACUAAACUAAAAAUACUCAGCCACCAACUACUUUCAUUAAUAACUUAUACUUUUCUAACACUAUGUAAUACAAUCAAGAACCCCUUUCCUACUUCAAGCAUAAUCUAAGUCACCUUAACAAAUAACUACUUCUCUACCUUCUACCACGAAAUAUACACCACACUCACUACCUAUUUAGGUAACACCCAGUGAUGCAUCACCUCAAUCCUUACUUAAUAGCAUGCAUAGAUCUCUCACUAUACUAUUAACCAGUCUUUAUCUCUAACUUUCUUGUCACUACACUUCUAAAUUCAUACUUCUAACUCUGAGGUAUUCUAUUACUUAUGAAUUAUAACACACUAAAUUACAAUAUCUCUUAAGGAAAACUAUAAUCAAUAAUUUGGGUACAUAACCUUUCCUCUCAUGAUUGUUAUCUGUAACAAAGGGCUAGAGGAAAAAUUUAAUUAUGUAGCAUAUCCUGUCUUGACCGCACAACUCAUAUAGAAGAGGACAUAAGCUUUCGAUUUAAAGGACUUUAAACACACUAGCGGGAUCCUCCAAAGCCCUUUGUGUAACUUCCGAAGUUACUAAUAGUAAAUCUGAGAGCAUCAUCUUGGUAGGAAUUCGAACCUACAAAUCAUGUUAUCUCGAGAAUAAGUCAUAGAGGGAGAAUUAUGGAGUAACACACAAAUUAACAGAAGUUUCUGAGAGAACAACUUUACAACAUGAUCUAGAUCAUGAAGGAGGGAAAUAUUUCUUAAAUUCCCUAUUGAAUCUCAAAUAAAAGUAUAAAUGUCUUCGUACCAUCCGCAAUACUCUACUAGACACGGCUUCAUAGACAUCCUAUGACACUUGAAUUCUGUGCUCUGAUGCCAAGUUUGUAACGUCCCAAGACUACUCCUAAAUAUCACACGGUGCUUGGAACCACAAGUGAUCUUAAGCUAACCCAUGAUACUUACAUAACUCAUGAGUAACUAAAUAUGUUACAUAAAUCUAAAAGAAAUAAGUGGAAGAGAUAAUUUUUCUGAAUAUAUUCAAUACAAAACUAUUUAAAACGUUUAUACUUUAAUUAUACAAAAUAAAACUAGAAGUAAAUACAUCAACUUUAAAUGAUCGUCUAUGAAGCCUCUACUAAUAUUAACUAUAGGUAGCCGGAACAGGACCCCCAGUUAUCUCUAAUCAAUAUGAUUGAAUAAACAUGCUACUAGAAUUUUGUAAUAGUAUUUUACGUGUGAAUCUUUUUAUCUAGUUGUGGGUGUAGAUUUCCUUGUUGAUUGGUUACUUUGUAAUAGUAUUUUACGUGUGAAUCUUUUUAUUGUUCUUAGUAGUUUUGGAGUGUGUUACCUUGUCUAAUUACUGUUACUUGAUUUACUAGCAUAUCCAUAAAUUGUGGUAGUAUUAGUUCCAUCUAUUCACUAUUGUUUAUCAAAAUUUGUGUUAUAUUAUUGGUUUUGUUGCUCUCUAUCUAUUAUAGAUUGUUGGUUGUGUCCCUAGCUCCUUUAUUGACUUCAUUGUAACUAGUGUGGCCUUUUUACCUUAUCUUAAUCCCCCUUUGUUAUCUUUCUUCCCUUUUUCCUUUCAUCCCUUUCCCUUUUGUCGCAUAGUGGCGGUGAUUAGCAAUGGUAGACAAGGUUUAUGUCAUAAGUCAAGGUUGGGGUCAAGGUCAGGAGGUUUUAGGUCUGGUUCGACGUUUGAGGGGUUGGGUCUAUGUCGGGGUUUGGGGGGGUUGGGUCUGGGUCGGGUCUAAGAUCGUGCUUGGGGUUAGGGGCUAGGGGUAGUAAGGUUAGGCCGGAUAAAAGAGCUUCUAGGUUGUAAGUUGGGUCUUGGAACAUCGGUACUUUGCAGGGUAAGUCUAUAGAGCUGGUGAAGAUUCUUAGAAAGCGGAGGGUUAGUGUAGCGUGUGUCCAGGAAACUAAAUGGGUAGGCGCUAAAGCGAGAGAUAUGGAUGGGUAUAAGUUGUGGUACUCGGGUAACAUGAGACAUAGAAAUGGGGUAGGUAUCUUAGUAGAUGAAGAUUUUAAGGAGCAGGUGGUAGAGGUAAAGAGAGUUAGUGAUAGACUGAUGUCUAUUAAGUUGUCAUGGGAGAGUCUACAAUGAAUGUUAUUAGUGCCUACGCCCCGCAAGUAGGUUUGGACGAGGAGGAGAAGAAGGAAUUCUGGGAGGUUUUAGAUGAGGUGGUGAGGAGCAUCCCGAGCACUGAGAAGCUUUUCGUGGGAGGGGAUUUCAAUGGGCAUAUUGGGUCUCUAUCGAGAGGGUACGAUAAUGUGCAUGGCAGUUUUAGUUUUGGUGAGCAAAAUGAAGGAGGAACUUCUCUGUGGGAUUUUUCUAGGGCUUCUGGGUUGUGGAUAGAGAAUUUGAGCUUUCCGAAGGAGGAGGAUCACCUUAUUACAUUUCGUAGUUCAGUGGCCAGGACUCCUAUAGACUUUUUGCUUCUUAGAAAAGGGGAUAAAGCGCUAUGUAAAGACUGUAAAGUCAUACCUAGCGAGAAUAUCUCAACUCAACAUAGGUUGUUGGUGAUGGACUUGGUUAUGAAUAAGGGCAAAAAGAAGAGAAGUGGGGAGGCAAGGCCUAGGAUUAAGUGAGGUAGCUUGACUUUGGCUAGUGCUUUGGAGAUGAAAGAGAAGUUGAAGAGUAGGGAGCGUGGGAGGGUAGAGGAGGUGUGGAUAAUAUGUGGAAGACGGCUGCCAGUUGCAUUAGGGAGACCGCUAGAGAGGUGUUGGGUGUCUCGAGAGGUCGAUCUGACAAACAUCAAGGAGACUGGUGGUGGAACAAAGAGGUCAAGAGAAAGGCGGAGUCUAAGAAGGUGGCUUAUACUAAGUUGGUUGGGAGUAAGGAUGAUGAGGAAAGGCAAAAGAAUAAGGAGGAGUUUAAGGUAGCUAGAAGAGAGGCUAAGUUAGCGGUUACGACGGCUAAGACAGCAGCUUUUGAGAGUUUGUAUGCGGCUUUAGAGGAAAAAGGCGGAGAUAAGAAGUUGUAUAGGAUGGCCAAGGACAGAGAGCGGAGGGCUCGUGACCUUGACCAAGUGAAGUGCAUCAAAGGAGAGGAUGGUAUAGUGUUGGUUUAGGAUGCCCUCAUUAGGGAGAGGUGGCAGUCCUAUUUUCAUAAACUUUUGAACGACAAGGGGGACAAAAAUUCGGUGUUGGGAGACUUGGAGAUAUCUUAGGAGGGUCGCGAUUAUAGUUAUUGUAGGCGUAUCAAGAUUAAGGAGGUCAAGGGGGCUAUUCGCAGGAUGCGGUGGGGUAGAGCGACGGGGCCAGACGAGAUUCCAGUAGAUUUUUGGAAGAGCACUAGCGGGGCAGGUCUGGAGUGGUUGACAAGGCUGUUUAACAUUAUUUUUAGAGCUGCUAAGAUGUCUGAAGCGUGGAGGUGGAGCACAAUGAUUUCAGUGUAUAAGAACAAGGGAGACAUUUAGAGAUAUAACAACUAUAGAGGUAUUAAGUUGUUGAGUCAUACUAUGAAGGUUUGGAAAAGUGUGGUAGAGUUGAGGAUGGGAGAAUCGUGACGAUCUCUGAGAAUCAAUUCGGUUUCAUGCCUGGUCGCUCGACCACUGAGGCCAUUCACCUUGUGAGGAGAUUAGUGGAGCAGUUUCGAGAGAGGGGGAAGGACUUGCGCAUGAUGUUUAUUAAUCUAGAGAAGGCAUAUAAUAGAGUUCCCAGGGAGAUUCUGUGGAGGUUCUUGGAGGCUAGAGGGGUGCCCGUGAUGGUUCGAAGACUCGUGUGAGGACGGUAGGUGGAGAUUCAGAGCACUUCACAGUUUUGAUAGGGUUGCACUAGGGAUCGACUCUUAGCCCGUUUCUAUUUGCUUUGGUGAUGGAUGUUUUGACGCGACAGAUUCAAGUAAAGGUUCCUUGAUGUAUGUUAUUUGUAGAUGAUGUGGUUCUGAUUGACGAGACUCGGGGUGGAGUUAAUGAUAAGUUGGAAAUUUGAAGACAGGCGCUUGAUCUAAAGGUUUUCGGUUAAGUAGAAUCAAGACGGAGUACUUGGAGUGUAAGUUCAGUGAUAUGUCACAAGAAGAUGAAGUAGUUAUGAAGCUAGACUCUCAGGCCAUCCAGAAGAGGGAGAGUUUCAAGUAUCUGGGGUCUAUAAUUCAGGGUAAUAGUGAGAUUGACGAGGAUGUCACGCAUCAUAUUGGGGCAGGGUGGUUGAAGUGAAGGCUCGCCUCAGGAGUCUUUUGUAAUAAGAAGGUGCCCCCGAAGCUUAAAAGUAAGUUCUACAGAGUGGUAGUCUAGAUGGCUAUAUUAUAUGGAGCGAAGUAUUGGCCAAUUAAGAACUCCCACAUCCAAAAGGUGAAAGUGGUGGAUAUGCGAAUGUUGCGAUGGAUGUGUAGACAUACUACAAAAGAUAGCGUGAGGAAUGAGAUUAUUCGGGAGAAGGUGGGAGUUGCCUCGGUGAAGGAUAAGUUGCGAGAAAUGAGGCUACGUUGGUUCGGGCAUGUGAUGAGGAGGGGCCUUGAUGCUCUAGUACGGAGGUAUAAGACUCUGGCUAGGGAUGGCUUUAGGCGGGCUAGAGGUAGACCGAAGAAAUAUUGGAGGGGGGUGAUUAGGCAUGAUAUGGAGCAAUUACAGCUUACAGAGGACAUGACCCUUGAUAGAAAAGUGUAGAGAAUGCGGAUUAGGGUAGAGAGUUAGGGGGUGGGAGCGCGGAGGUAGUAAUAGGGAGUGCUCCUUUGGGUCUGGAGUUUCUGGUUCGUAGUGUUGUGGCUGUAGUUUGGGGCUAGUGGUGUUGUCUUUUUUGCAUUCCGUACUAGUUUAUUAUGCACUUAUCUUUUGUGUUUGUUAUACGGUUAGUUUGUUUUGUGUACCAUACAAGUUUAUAUGCGCCUACUUUUUGUAUUUGUUAUACUGUUAUUGGUCCUAAGCCGGGGAUUUAUCGAAAACAGCCUCUCUACUUCUCUUGAGGUAGUGGUAUAAUCUGCGUACACUCUACCCUCCCCAGACCCCACUAGGUGGGAAUACACUAGGUAUGUUGUUGUUGUUGUUGCUAGUGUACAUUUAUUUGUGAAAAUUUGAAAAGUAAGAGUUAAAAUUAGAUAAGAAUGAAUGUAAUAGUAAAAAAUACACAUAAAAACAUGUAGCUGAAAUAAAGUAUAAAUAACAAUAGCAAUAAUAAUAAUUUUAUUUUAAGGAAGAAAUAAAUAAUAAAAAUAGCGAUAAAAUAUCUUAUAUAUAGUAGUGCAUAUUAUAUGUACCUUGUAUUUUUUUUUUUUUUUUAAGAUUAUAAAAAAUCAGAAAAAAUCUUGAAGUAAUGUUAAGGAGUAAAUAUAGAGUGCCAUAAAAUUUGAACCAUAUUAAAUUGUAUAAAAAUUAAAUUUUUGAUAAGUGAAUUAUUUGCAAAUAUAAAUGGGUUAACUAAUUGACACUUAUUUAUAGUGAUUUACUUGAAAAACUCCAAUUAAGAUGAUAAAACCGUUGAGAAAUAUUAUUUGCAAAUGAAUAGUUAACCAUGAUAUUCAGUUCAGAAAAAAAUAUAUUUUUCAUUUGAGGUCGCACAUAAAGCCCAAGUUUGUCUCCUUUAUUCUAAAAAAUUUAUUCGUAUGCUAAAAGUAAAUGCUUGAGCGAUAUGUUGUGUUAUGUCUAAUAGAAAAACAAAUGAACGAGAGAUUAGCUAAAGAAAACCAACUCGAGAAAAUUAAGUAGGAGGUGAAAAAAAAAAUCUUUAAAUUAAAAAUGGUGACAACUUUGACCGAUUAAGGCCAAAACUUUAUUUAAAUUGUGAUUAAAUUAAUUGGGGAGUAAAGUAUAAUUUUUAAAACCUUUUUAAUUUUUUAAAAAGUCCUCCAACUUCAAAUUUCAAGUUUUAGAAUUUUCCCCCUUUUUUCUUAUCUUUUAAUUUUCCUCUUCUUUUUCUUUCUCCUCAUGUUCUUCUUCUUAUUUUUCUCUCUCUAGAUUUUCCUUUUCUUUCGUCUUCUUUUUCUUUCUCUUUUCAUUUUCUUCUUCCUUUUUUAAUUUUUAUGGACUAUUUUUAUAAAAAAUUAAAAAGUUUGAAAAAAAAUUUUUUAAUUUCUUUUAAAAAUGAUUGAAAAAAUAAUUUAACAAAUUCAGCAACUACAGUAAUUGCUGCAACAACAACUAUUAGUUGUUGUGUUACAGCAAUCAUCGAAGUUGCUAUAGCAAUUAUUAAAGUUGCAGCAGUAACUAUCGAAGUUGCUGCAACAAUUAUCGAAGUUGCUGCUUAAUUUCUGAAAAAAAGUCUGAAUGGAGGAGCCCACAAAAAGUGAUAUUUAUGGUAAAAAAAAAGAGGCAGUGGUGCUAGUGGUGACGCCAAAUGAGAAGAUGAUAUUUGUUGUGGUGUUGAUAGCGACUGUGGUAGAGGAAAAAAGGAAAAAUAGACUACAGUUAUGUAGAGGGAGAAAAUAAUGAUGAAUCUGGAAGAGGUGGCAAUGAUAGUGAUAGUAGAGGAAGAGGAGGUGGCAACGGCGAGCGGCAACAAAAAAGGUGUGGGGAAAAAAAAAAAAGGUGUAGAAAUCUUUGUGUAAAUAUAAGGUAAGGAUCUUUGUAUACAUAAUAAAACUUGAGGAUUUUAAAAUUAGUGUCAUUAACACUAAUUUUAAAAUUAUCACCUCUACUCAAUAUUUAAGACUUGUGUCACUUUUUUUUUAUUUUGAAACUUUUUUGUCACCUUAAUUAAUUUGCCAACCAACUCUAGGUCAUUAAAGCUAAAUGAGAUAAAUGAAUAUAAAGCUAAUUCAAAUUUAAUUAUUCACAUAAAAAUUCAUAAUCAAGUACAUAUAAGGGUUAGUAAAACAUGUACAAAUAAUAAAAUAAUCAAGGAGGAAAAAAGAUCGAUAUUAUAAGUUUCUAUUGAACGAAUCGGAUCCUAACGAUUUAGACCCCGAGUUAUGUGAUCUAUUGCUGUUGAACCGAUAUUUUGAUCGAAAUGAAGUUUCAAUUGAAACUCCAACUCCCGAGUUCACAUGAAAAAAAAGAUUAGGAGUAGAAAUCGAACUUGAGUUAUAUAAAUAAGUAAUAAAAAUAAUAUGCUAUGUAACCAGAUAAUUCAAACUUCAGUGUGCUGAUUACGUAAAACAGAGAAAAAUAAAUGAACUUAAACAUGCACCUGACAAAUUAUUACCAAGUGGAGCAAUAUUUUAGCAAGCAAUGGUUAGAUGAAGCUACACGUCAUUAAUAUCUCAAACUAUUCAAAAUAUCUCAAACUAUUCAAAAUACUAUCAUUCUAUUCUAAAGAAAAUUAGAAGCAAUUCCAAGCUAAUUGUUUUGAAGACUGGACAUAUGGCAACAUAAAUCAAAUUAACCGCCUAUUUUAUUCAAGCUCACCAAUAUAAGCAUGAAGUGAAAAUUUAGACGAGCUUAUCAAGAAUAGGCUCUUCAAGCUUGUUAGAAAUUGAAUAGUCAGUAUCUAAUUGACGUCGAACACCUUUUAUUCAUAAUUGAGAAGACACAAACCCAUAUAGAGAGGGAGAGAUUGAUUCUUGAAUCAAAAAUGAACUUAUGCUAACAUAGGUUGACCACACUUAAUUAGUAACACACAAUGAACAAAACAGAGAUUCGAAAAUGCAAGUUCAGUUGCUCGGGCAACUUAUUCAUACUACAACUAGUUGGGAUAUUUUUCAAGUCAUUAUGAACCUAAAAGAACUCACAAUUAUAAAUAAGUGCUAUAAAAAACAUGAAACGUAAGAAAAAAUUUGGGACACCAAAAAGUUUUCAAACUUAAACCAACUCGAACUCAAAAACAACCACAGCUUAAAAUAAAUCAAGACAGGACCAUAUUUUUUUUUGAAAAUUUGAUUCUCGAGAGCGAACAACACUACUACGACCCAAACUUGAAACAAAAAAUGUAAAAUAUAUUCACACACAAAUCCAUUUCAGAUUCGACAACAAAAAUAUAUACUUGAUCAAAAUUCACAAACCAACUUAUCUUUUAAAAUCAACAACAACGCCAUAAACUUGAUCAAAAGUUAGGAAAAAAUCAUAUACUCGUGGAAAAAAAAGAAAAGCUGAAGGAGACGAAGGUGAAAAAUAAUUCCAAAGGGAUAGGUUCGCACCUUUUUUGAGGCAGCUAAUCGGAGCUUCAACGUUAAGGGUUUUCCGACAAUAAAACUCGAACUCCAGAAACUCUAACUUAAACCAAAAUCAAGAAGAGGAAAAAUCUUCGUGACUUUUCUUGUGGGUUUUCCCAAACGUUAGAAGAUAAUUUUUGAGAGUGUUAACUGGUUUUUCCCUAAUUUUUCAACUGUCAACUUGUUAUUUCGAAUUUGCAACUUGUUCUAUGGGAUGGAGAACACCCAUAUAUAGGCAAUCCGGACUUUAAAGUUCGAAUUUGAAACCCAAAAUUAACAAAAUGUGGGAAGAAAAUGGCNNNNNNNNNNNNNNNNNNNNNNNNNNNNNNNNNNNNNNNNNGGGGGGGGGGGAGUGGAGAUUUAAAUUUUGAAUUCAAAAUUGAACGAAUCUUCUCCUUUCUCCGUACUCUGAUGAUUUUCACAACAUUAAUGGCGGAUUUGAAGCAACAAAUAGAUCGUUGCAUCUACUUGAUACCUGACUUUUGCUGAUUCGGUUGAUUCACGGGUUGACGAUGUUAAAAAAAAAAAAAAAAAUCUUCCCAGGGGUAGCAGGAAUUCAACAACCAUGGUGCAGCUAGGGGUCGCGGUUUCGGGGGUGACGAAGGAGAGGAGAAGGAGAAAGACGAAGAAGGGUCGUCAAUGUUUUGUUGCUUUUCUGUAAAGAGAUAAUGAAAGAUCCGUGGGAUAUGGGGAAAAGGAAAAUGGACACAUUUUCUAAUUUUUUUGGAACAAGGAAUAUGCAUUUUGGUACUCG
rnacentral:lncRNA from 1 species